UCCUCUCUCUCAUCCUCCUCCACCUCUGUUUUUCUCAGCAACCUCAGACCGGCAAGAACAUCACGGACUCGUACUGACGGGAAGAAAAUACUCUCUCUCUCUCUCUCUUUAAAACCCCAUCAACGCCUCUCUCAUCCUCAUUCUUUGUUCUUCUCAGAAACUCCAACCACUGCCACAUGCUCCGCCAUUCCCAUCUCCACCCACCUCUUCGCCGCCAAGGACCACCGAUUCUACUACCCAUCUUUUCAAGGCUCCGAUUUUUUUCAGCUUUCUUACCAAAUCCCUCUGUAUUUGAUAUUCUUUUGGUUUCUUUUGUGUGAGAUAUUUGGAUGAUUUAAUUCUAGUUUUUUCUUCUGUGAUAAUUAGAUUUCUUGUUUUUAAUUUUCGUAAAAUUACCAUUUUGGCUAGCUUGAGUUCUUGCUGUGAUAUAUUUGUAAUUUUUUUUUUUGGGGGAGUGGGUUUUGAGCAAUCCAAGCUCCUCUGAAAUUAACGACUGUGGCUUGGGAAAGAUCUCUGAGGAGAUGUUUGAAAGGACAAUGGACAUGUUUGAGAAGGCUGUUUGAAAUUAACAGUGUGAUUAGUUCUCAUUUGAAGAAAUAGAAGACCCAUGGAUCUAAUCAAAACCAUUUAUGAGCAUUGGUGGCAAAAAAGGGAGAGGAAGGGAAUGCCUUUAAUCUGACAUCUUCAGCCACCGCUGUGGGAAAGUAUCAACAACAAGUGAAGGAGUGGGAGCUAGCUUUGACCAAAAACAAUACCAACAUCCUAAUGGAUGCCUGGAGCAGGCUGCACCAAUUGAAAAGCUACCCAUAUUUGCUUUCUGUUUGAAGCCAUGAGGUUUGGAAGUUCCCAACAAGGGGUCAAAACAAAGGUCACGUAGGAAGUUUUCAGUUUCUGGGCAAAGCAAUGCCAUCUCGGGAGAUCAGGAUGGUUUCCAUGCUUUUGGAAGAAGAUUGAAUGAUUUUGCCUCUGUGGAUGACAAGUUUGCAUAUCCGGGUCAUAGUUGUGAAUCCCAUGAGUUCAGCCCCUGAAAAUAUGUUCAUGGCAACAAGGUUAGAGACCCAGAACUGCUGCCUGAAAUGUAUGCAAAGAAGCUAGUUGUUGCAGCAUUUCAUAUUGCACUAAAUUGCAUUGAACUUGAUCCAAAGAUGCAGCCCAGGAUGUAAACAGUGUUAGAGAGUCUUGAUUGCAUAAAAUCACAAAGAAGAAAGUAAAGAACUUAGUAGAAUUUUGGUUCUUGAUGCUGAUUUUUUAUGUUGAAGGUGUUUGGCUUGUUAGCAGUCCAUGGUUGGAGGGGAAUUUGGAUGUAUAUUUUCUUGGAAAUAUUUUUGUGAGCCAAUGUAUAUUUCAACAAAUCUAUUGCUAAAUUUUUAUAUUUUUGUGUCUAUGUAUUUGCAUAUUUGAACAAGGCAGCUUUAGAUGAAUUCAAUAGAGUGAUGUGGAUGGAAAUUUAAAUUCAAGAAGUUUAAAUUUUGCAAUA